GAUGAACGCUGGCGGCGUGCUUAACACAUGCAAGUCGCACGGAAAGGCCCAUGCUUGCUUGCGCCCUUGAGUAGCGAACGGGUGACACAUACGUAGGCGAUCCGCCCUGUACUUCGGGAUCUGCCUGGCUAACUGGAUCUAUUGCUGGAUAGUCCUACGGCUUGGAUGCCAUUGUGGAGCUUCUUUUCGGUGUGGGAUGGGCUCGCGGGCUAUCAGUUUUGUGGUGGGGUUAUGGUCUACCAAGGCGUCGACGGGUCGGCGGCCGGAGUGGGUGGACGGGCACAUUGGGAAUGGGGUACGGCCCAGGCUCCUACGGGAGGGAGGAGGGGGGAAUAUUGGACAAUGGGGGCAAGCCUGAAGCAGCGACGCCGGGUGGGGGAUGACGGCCUUCGGGUUGUAAACUCCUUUCGCGAGGGACGAAGCGUUUUUGUGACGGUACCUGGAGAAGAAGCACCGGCUAACUACGUG
rnacentral:rRNA from 1 species